ensembl:snRNA U6 U6 spliceosomal RNA
AUGGUCAUGGUGUAUCUUCAUAGCAAUAGAAACUCUAAUGAAGACAAUUAGCAGGGCCCCUAUGCAAGAAUAACAUGCAAAUUUGUGAGACGUUCCAUAUUUAA